AACGGUCUAUACCUGCGGUACCUGCGGAGGGAUCAUUAUCGAGUGUUAACCUACCCCUUAAAAAAGGGUGGUACCUCCCGUCCUUUGUAAAAAGGUCCCCUUUUUUUUAUUGGGGACUCUUUAAGACUUUUUUUCUGCUUCGGCGGGGUUAAAUCCCGCCGGAACACCCUCAAAAAUUCUUGAUUCAAAACAGUUCAGUCCGAGAAAUUUUGAAAAUAAAAAAAAAACUUUUAGCAAUGG
rnacentral:misc_RNA from 1 species